GGGGAUUUUAAUUUUUGUCAAGUGCCCCAGGUGAUUCUCAUCGCCAGGCAAAUUUGGGAAAUGCUUCUGCAGGGCCUUUAAAUUAGAAACAUCUCAGUGGCUCAUUUUAUUGAAAUUCAUAGUUAGAGGUAUCUCUGAGCUCCCAGGGGCCCCCAGAGCAACAAGGGCUGUCGUGAGCAGCCGCCUUGUGUGACCCCAGUGUGAUGUCUCGGAAGGGGCCUGGGCUGGGAGUGAAGAGUGUGGACUCCGCCUGACUCCGCUUCUCACUGGCUGUAUGACCCUGGAAAACUCCCUUGAACUUGAGUUUCUUCGCCUGUAAAAUGGGGGACUUGGACCAGGUAGAUUGCCGAAAUACUACCAGUUCUCAAGUUCAAUGACAAACUCAGUUUACUGAGGUUUGAGAGAACAUCUCUCCAGCGGAGCCUGGGAGCUAGUCUCCUAGUCUGAGCAUGUAGAUGUCAUCAUUUGCCUUUUUUUCUGUCCCUCAUUUGAGAUAAAGAGGUGUUUUGUUUUGUUUACGCAUUCAAUUGUAAUUUUAUUUUUUUAACCCAGGUCUCUCUAACUUUGGCUUUUGAUACCAAACAAUUCAAAAGUUGGAUCUGAGUUUGGAGAAAGAUCUUUCCAACCAAAGAGGGUGUUAUUUUGAAACCAGAUUUUUAAUUUAAUAGCCUAUAUUUGUAGUCUCUUGGACAGAUCUUUCUAAAGUGUGUCUUCUCUAAUGAAAAUGUCUCUCUAGGUUUCAGGUACUCCUCUUCUCCAAUCUUGUGGUACUCGAAUAUCUAAAAACCCUGCACUUUGAAAAAUCAGCAGUUGCUAUCCAGAACUAAACAGAACUAUGAGUGAAAUUGCCUAGAUACUUUUUUAAAACUGUCCCUGCUUCGUCUCUUUUGCUCCAGGACAAACAGGAAUAUAAAUGGUGGGUCCAUUUGGGUGUUUGAGGGGUAAAGGGAGCCACUUGAGGGUCUGGAUGCUGACCCUCAUGGCCACAGGGGUACGUGGUUUGGGCACUGGUCCAAAUGACUGUGACAGUGAUGUCUGUCACCUGAGGAAGUUGUUUGCUGACAAUCACCAGAUCAUCCUAACUAAUAACAUAAAAAACAGCCAUUGUCUCAAAAGAUUGAGAUUUCUGUGGUCUCAACUUUGCUUUGUUAUAAUUUCUCACACCAAAUUCAUCAUUGUGACUUUUCCCCAAGUUGUUAUUUUUCUAGUGCAUUUCCUUUUCGUGUUCUUUUAGCACACAUUGGCACUUUAUCAUCUACCCCUCAAUUUGGAAGCAAAUCCCUCUCCGCUAUUGCUUUUCCCUCUACCCAAUAACCACAGCUGUAAUCUGGAAGGGUCAUAGUCAUAUUUCUUCCCUUCAUUUCUCAAGACUUUUUGUGAAAUUAGGUAAAUGAAGCAAUAACUUAAUGGGGUUGAAUCACCAUCCCAGGCAACAAGAGGCUCCUUUUCAUUUGCCUUAGGCCACAUCUCUUGACCUGUUCUGACAAAGCAGUGGCCAGGUACCAGCUCCGUUCAGGAGGAGAAAAGAAAGUCCUGUGGUCACACACUGGCGGGGAGGGUAGAGAGCCAGAGGCCUUGGAGCUUGGUCGGCAGGGCAGUUCUGGUGGCCGCAUGGAGGAGAGUCAAGGCUUGGGGUGUAGCCUUUGUUGCCAUACAACUGGAAUGUACCCCACAGGAGUACGGGGGCCGUGUCCCAGCUGAAAUCUUUUCAGUGUAUGACUCUGAAUGGCACUUACAUCCCAUUUUAGCUCGCAUGAAAUCAACUGAAGCCCUUUGUUCAAGCAUCAGGCUGUCAAGCAUGGAAAUGAGAAUGUGACUAUGGCUGUCUUACAGGAAAAUUCUUGUUUGUCCCUGAAUGAGAGCACAGAGGCAUUGAAUUUACAGAGAUGCAAACUUGCCUAGUACAGAAGGGGACAGCAUUUAAAUGAAGUUUUCCUAAAGCACAAGACCAUGUAGAACCCUGUCCCCUCUCCACACCAGUACCAGAUGAUCUGGGUCUCUCCCACUGCCUCAGGAAGACCUUCACUGUACCUGAGCUUCUGACUUCUGCCACUGCAGCUGCCUUAGUGACACCAGAACCUGGGGGUGGGGGUGGGGAGCCAGUUUGCAUCUCCCCUUUUCCUGGUUAGGCUCCUGCCAGCCAUGGUCUUCUAUUGGCAGAUCUGCUUCCAGAUUGAUUUUUGAGAACCAUCACUUUCACAUUCCUCAUUUUUGUUUGUUUUGUUUUAUUUUGUUUUGUUUGGAUUUUCUGAAACUUAAAAUGCUGCCCUGAAAAUAAUGUAUUUUUGACUUUGUGUUCUGAAAGCCUCCAUGCUGCUGGGUUUUGCGGGGAAAUACAGGAUCCUUCAGCACUGAGGUGUUUAAAUUUGCAACUAGCAAUGCAAUUUUUUCUAAAUAUGAGGAUAUUUACCUUUAUUAAGAAAUUAUACUAAACAAUGGUGUCCUUGAUCAUUUUAUGUUCUCAUAAUACUUUGGUUCUAUUUUGAUUCUGUGUGGUGGUAAACAAAGAUCAUUACAAAAAAAACUGUAAUUUUGUUAUCUUUGAUUCAAUGGAAUUUCUUUACUUAAAAAAAUAAAAGACUAAAAAUGUG